GGUCAAUGAUGAUUGGUAAAAGGUCUGAUUGCGCUUAACCUCACAGCCCCUUCCUUGCCCUCAACUCCCAGCAGCCCAUCUUUUCCUCCUAUCACAUUUAAGUCAUGUGUAUGGGGUAAUGGAGCAGCUGAUAAUUUGGGAUUCUGUCAGUAUGUGUUCCUGAGAGAGAACGGUUCACAGCUGACAAAUAUCCAACAGACCCUGCUGUGCAGGAGAUUGAUGAGUGGCAGCUGUGGAUGUGAUGGUGCAUGAUCUCAAGUUUUCAAUCUGAGACC